rnacentral:rRNA from 1 species
UUACCUACGGGGGGCAGCAGUGGGGAAUAUUGCAUAAUGGGGGAAACCCUGAUGCAGCGACGCCGCGUGAGUGAAGAAGUAUUUCGGUACGUAAAGCUCUCUCAGCAGGGAAGAAAAUGACGGUACCUGACUAAGAAGCCCCGGCUAACUACGUGCCAGCAGCCGCGGAAAUACGUAGGGGGCAAGCGUUAUCCGGAUUUAAUGGGUGUAAAGGGAGCGUAGACGGCAGUGAAAGUCUGGAGUGAAAUGCCGGGGCCCAACCCCGGAACUGCGUUGGAAACUGUGCA